AUCCUUUUGUAAUUCUUAAGUGUGAUGAUUGGGUGUUCACGCUGUUGUGUGACAUGUGCCACUCUUAAACCUUGUUACAACAUCAGCACAUUACCCGUCUGACG
ensembl:snoRNA